rnacentral:tRNA from 1 species
GCUUGGCUGGCUCAGUGGAGGAGCAUGGGACUCCUGAUGUCAGGGUCGUGAGUUCAAGCCCCAUGCUAGGUG